GUACACCAGCGUCCAAAUCUUGCCUUUGGCAUUUCCCUGUACGUUAGCGAUAAUGGGCAACCUAGCAAUGUGUGUACCACCUGUGGCGUCAGAGUUCCCUGAUCAGGAUGGCGCCUGGGU
rnacentral:sRNA from 12 species